GCUACUACCGAUUGAAUGGUUUAGUGAGGACUCCUGAUUGGCGCCGCCGCCCCGGCAACGGAGCAGCGGACUGCCGAAAAGUUGUUCAAACUUGAUCAUUUAGAGGAAGUAAAAGUCGUAACAAGGUUUCCGUAGGUGAACCUGCAGAAGAACGGAAGAGCCAACGGCUGAACUCAAGUGACGUGGCCAUAGCUCGUAUGCCGUCUUCUGGCUGAAAAAAAAAAACGAAGUGCUUGAAAGUUGUAAGUUAAGAAACACGAGUUCACAGUGGCAGUAC
rnacentral:misc_RNA from 1 species